GGGGAACCGGAGAGACACUCCGAACUGCAGGGAAAGAGGAGACGGACGGAAAGCGAGCGAGCAGGAAAUCCUGGCGUCACCGGCGCCGUCAGUGUGUGUGACGGAUCAGGUUGCUGGGGUUCGGCACAAAAGCACA
rnacentral:lncRNA from 1 species